rnacentral:rRNA from 1 species
GGUUUAGAGUUUGAUUCAUGGCUCAGGAUGAACGCUAGCGGCAGGCCUAAUACAUGCAAGUCGUACGGUAGAGAUACUUUCGGGUAUUUUGAGAGUGGCGCACGGGUGCGUAACGCGUAUGCAACCUACCUUUUACAGGGGGAUAGCCCGGGGAAACCCGGAUUAAUACCCCAUGGUAUUAUUGAUCUGCAUGGGUUGAUAAUUAAAGAUUUAUCGGUAAGAGAUGGGCAUGCGUAGGAUUAGCUAGUUGGUAGGGUAACGGCCUACCAAGGCGACGAUCCUUAGGGGUUCUGAGAGGAAGGUCCCCCACACUGGCACUGAGAUACGGGCCAGACUCCUACGGGAGGCAGCAGUAGGGAAUAUUGGGCAAUGGUCGGAAGACUGACCCAGCCAUGCCGCGUGCAGGAAGACGGCCUUACGGGUUGUAAACUGCUUUUAUCAGGGAAGAAAAAGGCCAUGCGUGGCAAAU